rnacentral:rRNA from 1 species
AUUGAACGCUGGCGGCAUGCUUUACACAUGCAAGUCGAACGGCAGCGGGGGCUUCGGCCUGCCGGCGAGUGGCGAACGGGUGAGUAAUGCAUCGGAACGUGCCCAUGUCGUGGGGGAUAACUACGCGAAAGCGUGGCUAAUACCGCAUACGCCCUGAGGGGGAAAGCGGGGGAUCUUUCGGGACCUCGCGCGAUUGGAGCGGCCGAUGUCGGAUUAGCUAGUUGGCGGGGUAAAGGCUCACCAAGGCGACGAUCCGUAGCUGGUCUGGGAGGAUGAGAAGCCACACUGGGACUGAGAGACGGCCCAGACUCCUACGGGAGGCAGCAGUGGGGAGUUUUGGACAAUGGGCGCAAGCCUGAUCCAGCCAUGCCGCGUGAGUGAAGAAGGCCUUCGGGUUGUAAAGCUCUUUCGGCCGGGAAGAAAUCGCAUUCUCUAAUAUAGGAUGUGGAUGACGGUACCGGACUAAGAAGCACCGGCUAACUACGUGCCAGCCGCCGCGGUAACAC